AAUCAACGCUGGCGGCGUGCCUCAGACAUGCAAGUCGAACGAUUAAAGCUCUCUUCGGAGAGUGCAUAGAGUGGCGCACGGGUGAGUAACACGUAAGUAAUCUACCUUCGAGUGGGGAAUAACGUCCGGAAACGGGCGCUAAUACCGCAUAAUGCAGCGGCAUCGCAAGAUGACAGUUGUUAAAGGAGCAAUCCGCUUGAAGAGGAGCUUGCGGCAGAUUAGCUAGUUGGUAGGGUAAUGGCCUACCAAGGCUACGAUCUGUAACCGGUCUUAGAGGACGGUCGGUCACACUGACACUGAAUAACGGGUCAGACUCCUACGGGAGGGCAGCAGUCGGGAA
rnacentral:rRNA from 1 species